GGGAGGCAGCAGUGAGGAAUGUUGGUCAAUGGACGGAAGUCUGAACCAGCCAUCCCGCGUACAGGAUGAAGGUCCUAUGGGUUGUAAACUGCUUUUAGCAGAGACGAAACGCCGACAUUUAUGUUGGUCUGACGGUAUCUGCGGAAUAAGCACCGGCUAACUCCGUGCCAGCAGCCGCGGUAAUACGGAGGGUGCAAGCGUUAUCCGGAAUCACUGGGUUUAAAGGGUGCGUAGGCGGAUGAUUAAGUCAGUGGUGAAAGCUGGUCGCUUAACGAUCAAACUGCCAUUGAUACUGAUUGUCUUGAAUUGGGUUGAGGUUAGCGGAAUGUGACAUGUAGCGGUGAAAUGCAUAGAUAUGUCAUGGAACACCAAUUGCGAAGGCAGCUAACUGGGCCUUGAUUGACGCUGAGGCACGAAAGCGUGGGUAGCGAACAGGAUUAGAUACCCCUGUAGUCCC
rnacentral:rRNA from 1 species